GAGCGGCGGACGGGUGAGUAAUGCAUAGGAAUCUGCCCGGUAGUGGGGGAUAACCUGGGGAAACCCAGGCUAAUACCGCAUACGUCCUACGGGAGAAAGGGGGCUUCGGCUCCCGCUAUUGGAUGAGCCUAUGUCGGAUUAGCUAGUUGGUGAGGUAAUGGCUCACCAAGGCAACGAUCCGUAGCUGGUCUGAGAGGAUGAUCAGCCACAUCGGGACUGAGACACGGCCCGAACUCCUACGGGAGGCAGCAGUGGGGAAUAUUGGACAAUGGGGGCAACCCUGAUCCAGCCAUGCCGCGUGUGUGAAGAAGGCCCUCGGGUUGUAAAGCACUUUCAGCGAGGAAGAACGCCUAGUGGUUAAUACCCAUUAGGAAAGACAUCACUCGCAGAAGAAGCACCGGCUAACUCCGUGCCAGCAGCCGCGGUAAUACGGAGGGUGCAAGCGUUAAUCGGAAUUACUGGGCGUAAAGCGCGCGUAGGUGGCUUGAUAAGCCGGUUGUGAAAGCCCCGGGCUCAACCUGGGAACGGCAUCCGGAACUGUCAGGCUAGAGUACAGGAGAGGAAGGUAGAAUUCCCGGUGUAGCGGUGAAAUGCGUAGAGAUCGGGAGGAAUACCAGUGGCGAAGGCGGCCUUCUGGACUGAUACUGACACUGAGGUGCGAAAGCGUGGGUAGCAAACAGGAUUAGAUACCCUGGUAGUCCACGCCGUAAACGAUGUCGACCAGCCGUUGGGUGCCUAGCGCACUUUGUGGCGAAGUUAACGCGAUAAGUCGACCGCCUGGGGGAGUACGGCCGCAAGGUUAAAACUCAAAUGAAUUGACGGGGGGCCCGCACAAGCGGUGGAGCAUGUGGUUUAAUUCGAUGCAACGCGAAGAACCUUACCUACCCUUGACAUCUACAGAAGCCGGAAGAGAUUCUGGUGUGCCUUCGGGAACUGUAAGACAGGUGCUGCAUGGCUGUCGUCAGCUCGUGUUGUGAAAUGUUGGGUUAAGUCCCGUAACGAGCGCAACCCUUGUCCUUAUUUGCCAGCACGUAAUGGUGGGAACUCUAAGGAGACUGCCGGUGACAAACCGGAGGAAGGUGGGGACGACGUCAAGUCAUCAUGGCCCUUACGGGUAGGGCUACACACGUGCUACAAUGGCCGGUACAAAGGGCUGCGAGCUCGCGAGAGUCAGCGAAUCCCUUAAAGCCGGUCUCAGUCCGGAUCGGAGUCUGC
rnacentral:rRNA from 1 species